AUUAUAUUUUCAGAUUUUGGAUAAUUCUUACUAUUAUUAAUUUUAAUCAACUAUCUAAUCAAAUAAAUUAAAAUUUCGUUUUUUUUUUUUAGUUAUACAUUUUAUUCAUUAAGGGUAAAUACGUUAUUAACCACUCUAAUUUUUAACAUGAGAGCUCGAUUCCAAAAAUUUACUUCGCAAAUAAUAGUAUAGAUUAUCAAAUCAAAACAACUUUCUAUUUGGUUCGGUUUUAGUUGUUUGGGUUUUACCGGAUUGAGAUCUUGGUAAAUUUAUAUUUAUCUUCAGAUUUGGUUUUUAGAUUUCUUUUCUUUUCCGGCUUCACCCACCCCCCCUCCGCCGUUUGUAACCCAUUAAAAUAAUAUCAGUAAAAUAAUAUAUUAUAUAAUUUAUACAUAACUAUAUUACUAUAUUUUAAUUAGUUGAUUUAUUUAGUUUAUAAUAUAUAUCGAACCAUAUCCAUAUACUAUGGGUUUUUGUUAAAAUAAUAUUCAUUCGUUUUAAAUGGUAUUAUUAAAUCAAAACCACUUUCUAUUCGGUUCUAGUUGUUUGGGUUUUUACCGGAUUGAGAUCUUGGUAAAUUUAUAUUUAUCUUCAAAUUUGGUUUUUAGAUUUCUUUUCGUUUUCGGCUUUGUAACCCACUAAACAAACCCCUUAAAUUCAAAUGGUCCAGGCCCAAAACCAAAGUCGCCUUUCCUGAAGAGCUAGUUGUUCGACUUUGUCUCUUAACCUACCAAAAACAUUUGGGCCUAAAUACCUGAAUUACAUAUAAUGGGCCUUUUUGACAAGAAGCUCGUUUGUCUAAAAAGAGAGCGAAAUCAAAAUCUUUUUUGUUUCGUCUUCUUCCUCCCCAAGAGACAACUACAAGUCUUAAACCCUAAAGAAGCACUAUGAAGGAUCGAAUCUGAUAGUUUGGAGAUGAGUUUUCUGCUUCGUCUUCCUCAAACCCACCUGCGGAAAAUGUCAGUGCUCAUGGGCUCGAACCAGUUCCUCGGCUUUUGUCUUCCUUGUUCUUGUGGUAGUCAAAGGCAGCAGCUAUCUAUCUUCCGUUUAUAAAAUAUUUCGUCCGGUUUUAGCCUCGAGACCCGUGUCUAAAAGCAACCCUUUUCACCAUACACUUCAGAUUUGAGUCUGGAAAGUUCGAAACAAGGUUGCAGGACAAAUUGGUGAUGCGUACUUGUGUUACGACAGAAACUUGCUGAAGUUGUUCUGAAGUAGUCAAGAGUUUUGAUUAAAGAGGUCCACUCAUAAAACUCAAGAGGAACUUGGUUCAGUAAUGAAAGGUUAACUGGUUUAUUCUCAGACUCUCUCCUAUAAAAGCCUGAGAGGAGAUCAAACAGACGGCCAUGAGCUAGUUUGGUGAGUUGACGGACAGCUUAACACAUUGGGACAUAGACGUAUCGAUAACAUUUGUCUGCUAAUUUUUUUAUUCCUUUUGGUGAGGCAAAAGAUCUUUUUCUGAGAUUCUUACUUACCUUUUGUAACAAUUAACAGACUGUCUAUGUGUGUGUAAUGUGGGGAUGGUUUCCUUGUUCUGUCUGGUGGGUCUGAUGCAAAAAAAAACGUGACUAUAGAUUUGGUUUUUGUACAGCUUGAUCUGGUGAUCUUUUGUGCUCUGUCACUUUGUGUAGUUUGUUCUGUUUCUCUCUGUCUCUUGUCUGUCUCCUUUUGCUGCGGCUGAUUUCGCGGGAUGAAUUAGCUGUAACUAUUGACUUGUAACAACUUCUGUGUUAACAAUUAUGCAACUCUUUUUGCCAA